rnacentral:rRNA from 1 species
UACGUAGGGUGCGAGCGUUGUCCGGAAUUACUGGGCGUAAAGAGCUUGUAGGUGGUUUGUCGCGUUGUUCGUGAAAUCUCACGGCUCAACUGUGAGCGUGCGGGCGAUACGGGCAGACUAGAGUACUGCAGGGGAGACUGGAAUUCCUGGUGUAGCGGUGGAAUGCGCAGAUAUCAGGAGGAACACCGGUGGCGAAGGCGGGUCUCUGGUCUGUAACUGACGCUGAGGCGCGAAAGCGUGGGGAGCAAACAGG